ensembl:snRNA U4 U4 spliceosomal RNA
AGCUUUGCGCACUGGCAGUAUCGUAGCCAAUGAGUUUAUCCGAGGUGCGAUUAUUGCUAAUUGAAAAAACGAAGGAACUGACAUUCACGUAAAUUUUAAGAAACUAAAUGCAACGUAAGAUGAAGACAACUGUAGACAGA